rnacentral:rRNA from 1 species
AUGUGCCCGAGGUCAAAUGCUGAAGAUCGGAUCGCUUGGCACUAUGAAAGAAAUGGGGUCUUCACAGUAAGAAGUGCGUAUAAGCUGGCCGCUGCAAUUCAUGGGCAGUCCCGUCAGUCCCCGUCACGCUCGUCAAGGGAACAUGAUGAUAGGAGCAUCUGGGACCUCAUCUGGAAAUCGAAUGUUCCACCAAAAGUGAGAAUUUUUGGAUGGCGAGUAGCUACCAACACGCUGGCCACGAAGAAGAAUAAAUGGAGGACUUUAGAACUGGAUGCCACAUGCAGCAUAUGCAGGUGUGGCGAGGAAGAUGAAUUCCAUGCGGUGGUAACCUGCACAAAAAGUAGAGCUCUCAGACAUGAAAUGAGAAAAGAAUGGGAACUCCCUCCUGAGGAAUCAUUCAGGUACACCGCCCCGGACUGGCUGCAAAUGCUAUUGGGCACAACGACUGAGGCCGUGAGGGCGAGGGUGUUGAUGCUUUUGUGGAGAGGUUGGCAUCUUCGUGAUGACUGUGUCCAUGGGAAAGGAAACGAGUCA